rnacentral:lncRNA from 1 species
GCACGAAGAAGUACAAAAUAUGCAUAAAGAGAAAGAAGAACAUCACUCGCUAGUAAUUCGACCAAGGUUACAAACACGCGUGCUCACCUGACCAAGGCUACAGACGUGCGUGUGAUUCCAGACUUUGUGUAGUGGGAUUUUAUUUUUUAGGUUUAUGUGGGUUUUAAUUUUUAAGGGCAUUUAUGUCUAUUUAUGUGAGUUUUUAGUUAUAUUUGAAAGAUUUUAUAAAAAUUGACAUUUUUUAAAGUGGGUAAAUUUUGGUUUUUUUUUUUAUUAUCACAAAACGUCCAAGAGGUUUACGAAACUAUCAGAUUACGUCUUUUUUUUUUUUUUGGUUAUUCGUGGUCCUCAAGGUUUAUAUGCGUGCUCACAAAUAGUGCUUCCAUAAAAAAUUCAGUUAGUUUGCAAAUGUAGCAUAUAUAUCGAAC